GUGCCAGCAGCCGCGGUAAUACGUAGGGUGCAAGCGUUGUCCGGAAUUAUUGGGCGUAAAGAGCUCGUAGGCGGUCUGUCGCGUCGGCUGUGAAAACCCGAGGCUCAACCUCGGGCCUGCAGUCGAUACGGGCAAACUAGAGUACUGCAGGGGAGACUGGAAUUCCUGGUGUAGCGGUGAAAUGCGCAGAUAUCAGGAGGAACACCGGUGGCGAAGGCGGGUCUCUGGGCAGUAACUGACGCUGAGGAGCGAAAGCGUGGGGAGCGAACAGGAUUAGAUACCCUGGUAGUCC
rnacentral:rRNA from 1 species